CGCAGUCUCUCCCUGUGUGCGUACUCGUGCACAUAGACUUGGCCGCGAUCACGCGAACCCCAAUGCUGCGUAAUUUGCGCGCCGCCUUCCACCAGAGACACUUGGGAGAAUUGUACCUUUCGCGGACUGAAGAUAACGUUACAUGUUCCGUUUUCAGUCCCUUGAUGAAGAUUGUACCACGGAGAAGGAGGAGGGGCUGGUAGAAGAAGAAGAUGAGAUUGACCAGUUUAAUGACGACACCUUCGGAGAUGGGGCCAUCGACGAUGACUGGCAGGAGGAGCACAAGCGUCUAGCCGAGCUCGAAGAACAAAAGAACGACGGACUCGGAGGUUUAGGACUAGGGGCACUAGGGAUGGGGGGAAUGGGAGGAGGAAACGCCUCCGCUGUUCACCUUCCUCCUCCCGCCAGCCGCGUCCCCCACCCGUCUUCCCUCCCCCCACCACAUCACUCUCUCUCUUCGAUGCCCCCUCCGGGCCUGGAGGAGAGGGGGGGAGGCGACCUAGCCGAGUCCCUAGCCAUGUUGAUUCUCGGGGCGGACCCGGCCAUCGCCAGUGUGGGUGGUCCAGCCGGGCCUGGUGACCGGUCCACUGGUCUCCCUCCUCCCCCUUCCAUCCCCCAGCAGCACCACCACCCCUCCCAGCUCCCUCCACACCACCAGCUGACCACGUCGGGGCUACCCCCCGGCCCACCGCACCCCUCCCUGCUUAGCUACCAGCAGCAUCAGCACCUCCUACGCCGAGGGGCAGCCCCCAUGCAACAGAUGAACUCUCACAAUAUCUGGGAGAACAACAUGGGAUUUGGGCCUGUGAGCAUCACCCCUGGACUAAUCACUCAAAUGGAGGACAGUCCACUUAUGUCUAUCAUCAAAGAAGUGGGGCUGCCCAAUCGGCCCCCGCCAAUGACGAGCGAGGAUGGGCGGGACUUGUCGGAAAGGGCCCCCCCGCCUCGCUCGUCCUCUCCCGUGAUUGGUAGCCCACCAGUGAGGGCUGUGCCUAUCGGGACUCCACCCAAGCAGCCGAUGAGUCAUGCUUUGAAUCAUCAUCAGCAGCAGAUCCACCACCCCACCGCCGUUCAUGUGCGAGCCCCGGUCCACCACCAACACCGCUACCCCCCUUCCUUCCCCGAGCGCAUCUCUCCCAACACCCUCUUAAACAUCGCUAACUCUCCUCUGUGUCGUCCUCCGUUCCCGGCCGGCGUGGGCCCCGUUCUGUCCCAGAUCCAACGCGCCCAGAUGCUCAACUCUCAGGUUGCUGGCUUCCCCAGGGGCUGUCAGGGUCCCCCGUUUCUGCCUGGUGGCGGAGGCUUCAGGCCCUUCUUCGGCCAGCCCCCUCCCCACAGGAUGGGUCCCCACCCCGGCGGGCCCCCUCUCAACCACGUCCCCUGUCCCAUCAUUCGGCACAACACCACGCACCUGCACCCCCAGCACCGCCGCAUGCUCACCCAGAGGAUGCAGAGUAGAGGAGGUGAGCGUGGCGGGCGUGUGGGGGACUGGCGGAGCAGGGACCCCUACAGUAACUUGAUGACCCAGAGGGAGAAGGAGUGGGUGGCCAAGAUCCAGAUGAUGCAGCUGCAGAGCACUGAUCCCUACCUGGAUGACUACUACUACCAGAAUUACUUUGAGAAGAUGGAGAAGAGGCAGGAGCGAGACAGAGACGGCGUGAGGAAGGAGCACACCACCAAACUCAUCACCCCCCAGGUGGCCAAGCUGGAACACACCUACAGACCAGUGCAGUUUGCAGGCUCGCUGGGUAAGCUGACUGUGUCCAGCGUCAACAACCCCAGGAAGAUGAUCGACACGGUGGUGACUAGUCGCACUGACGACGAGGAGAAGAGAGAGAAACAGGUGUGGAAUAAGAGACGGCAGAUCCUCUACACUGUGGAGAAGAUGUACAGUCUGCUGCUGGAGGUGCAGGACUUUGAGAAGCGCUUCAUGCAGACGCCGGAGGAGCAGAGAGAGGCCCUGCUAGAGCAGCACAAAACCCACACGCUGCAGCUCUACAGCUCCCUCAAGGAGAAGGAGUGGGACGACAGAGUGAGUGACGAGCAGUGCCUGUUGAUCAUGUCGGUGCGUAAGGGAAAGCGCCUCAUCUCCAGGCUCAUCCCUUUCCUGCCUCCGCUGCAGGCCGCCACCGUUGUCAUGGGGAUUGCCCGGAACCUGCCCGCCCUGGCCAAGAAAGACAAACAGGACCAGGUGCUGUGCUGGUUGGUGGAGCCCAUUGCCGUGGUGAUCUCAUCCCUAUCUAGCGCCUCCCUCACAGAUUUGCUGCAGGAGCUGCAAGGCAGCGAGGGUCAACUGUCCAGAGUGUUACAAAAUAAGUUUGGUGUGACACUGCUUUACCUGAUCCUGAGUGAAGGAGAGAGAAUGCAGAGCUCCAACCCCACCUGUCAACUCAUGGAUGACAAUCGAUGGACAGAGUUGGUGUUCUCUGUGACCAGGGAGCUGCUCAACGUGCCCUCCUCGUCCCUGUCCCCUCCUCUCUUCACCCCUCCCAACCUGCUCUCUCUCUUCUCGCGCUAUGUAGACCGACAGAGGCUGGAGCUGCUGCAGGAGAAGUUACAGUGAGUGCAGUCUCGCGCGUCCUUGGCCCAAUUUAAAUUCUCCCUGAAGUGUGCUGCUCCUACCUCCCCUUCAGUGAUUUGAAAAGCAUGAAUGGAUCUCCGCAUUGUCCAGGUAGAGGCGACUACAGACAUCAAGAGAAGCCCAGUUGAAGCGUGUGUGCGCGCACUAUUGUACCUAGAAGAGUAGGAUGUCUAAUAGGGUUGAUACUGAUUUUAAUCCAGCAGAAUCUGUCAUUUUUCUUUGUGUCCAUUAGGUGUGUAUGGGGAUGCGUGUGAGUGAGCGAUGAAACUGAGAAAAAAUAAAAUCAGCUUUUUUUAUUCUUGUUAACGUUGAUGCCUGUGAUAAAACAUCAAAUUAAAAGUAUUUCUAUUGUA